UGUGGCCAAACACACACAAAAUAUAAGGUAGAUCAUAAAUAUUCCAUUACACGGCGGCAAGGAGCUCCCCGCCCAUGAUACCACUGAGGCCUUCAACAUUUCUCGUAAACUACAACACUGAGAUCUUUUUUCCAGAACACGCACAAGUGAUGUGCUUUAUUUAUUACUAUUAAUAAGGCAGAGAAAGGUUUCUCUGUCCCACACAACAUAGAAGGUACUGUAGAUAAUAAAGGUUUCACUACAUGGUGGCCGGGAGCUCCCCACCCAUGCCACCAGUGGGGUCUUGAACCUCCCCACCCAUGCCACCAGUGGGGCCUUCAACCUCCCCACCACCGAUGCCACCGAGGCCUUGAACCGGCAGGUCGGUGUGCUCUUCAAAGGGGAAUGGCUCUAGUUUUGGCUGAGCUGCUUGUAGGAUCAUUUCAAUCGUCAGUUCUGGCCCUGAUCUUUGCAAAGGCGCCACUGGAUCAACACAUGGGUCAUGAGGCUGAAAAGAAUCAAAUUACAUUAUUAUGAUAGGCCGAUGCAAAUCAACCAAUUUAUGAUUCCUCUAUUUUAUUUUUGACAUGCAUGAAUAAGGGGUUGUGGCACUAACCAGGUUGGCAUGCAUUCUGUCGACAAAGGUCUUGAAAUUGACAUAGUUUUGUCCCUCUACCAGCUGAUUCGAUAACCGAAGGUAGGUGAAUCCAAACAGCUUGUGCUCAGGAGGGCCGCUCUUGUUGAUGCCAUGAGGCCUCGCAUUCCUGAGUAUGGUGUUGUAAGCAGUUGGAUCAUAUCGAGGAAGUGCGUUUUCGCAUGCCACAUUUAGGCCCUCUCUCCAACCAGCACUCAACACCUGAGAAUUUCGACGACAAGUGCUUUAGGUGUUUCCAUUAGAGAUAUAUAAGUGUAAUAUCCAAAGGCAUAUGUUACCUACCUGUUGGACUAGUUCUUCUGGUGCGCUCCUCGCCUGCGAGCUUUGCUCCGAGUCCCUCAUCUCGGCGCAAGUGAAGUUAAGGCUAGCAUGGUGCCUUUUGAGCAUGCGUGCUAUGGGUCUGUAGCCGUCUCUGUCAUGUAAGUUGUAGUACCCAGCUGUGAGCUCGGCCGCAUGGCUUGGAGCCUUGUACCACCAGUGAAUGCCGGAGAUCUGCAACCAAACAUUGGACCAUAUCUCAUUUACAUUCUAGAUUUAGAAAUGCAAGUUCCUUUAGCCUAUAGAGUGUUAGAAUGAUUUUUUGUGUACUUUUGUUUGUUGUUUAUCAUACAUGACUUCCCAACUUUUUUCUGUAACAAACUGAGAUCUUUAGGGUGGGAGCACUUACUUUGAUUGCCAGUUGCACUCUGUGUCCCAAGAAGACCUUGUUUGCUUCAUCCAAGAUCUUGUCACCGUGCUUGAUCAGAUUAUUGGAGUACCAUGCAAGGAAAAACCUCCCCUGCUCAGUGAGGUAUGUUCCGUUGUCCACGAAGAAUCGAGUUCUCUCAGGAGUGUCAUUGUACGUUCCGGAAUCGUGAGGAAAUUCCCACUCAGGAUGGCCAACCAUCGCUGCUGCUGCUUUGAAGUCUGCUUGCAGGUACUUAUCAUAGCACUGCAAAUGUUUUUAUUUGUACUAUUAGUUAAAACAGUUAAGUCGAGUCCUUUUGCUUUUAAUGGUGAUGGUAUUGAUUAUUUUACAUUUGUUUUAAUUAUUUCAUGUCAUCUAUUUAUUUUUAGAUGGUUUUGUGCUCGCUUAUGAUANNNNNNNNNNNNNNNNNNNNNNNNNNNNNNNNNNNNNNNNNNNNNNNNNNNNNNNNNNNNNNNNNNNNNNNNNNNNNNNNNNNNNNNNNNNNNNNNNNNNNNNNNNNNNNNNNNNNNNNNNNNNNNNNNNNNNNNNNNNNNNNNNNNNNNNNNNNNNNNNNNNNNNNNNNNNNNNNNNNNNNNNNNNNNNNNNNNNNNNNNNNNNNNNNNNNNNNNNNNNNNNNNNNNNNNNNNNNNNNNNNNNNNNNNNNNNNNNNNNNNNNNNNNNNNNNNNNNUGUUGUCUAGCCUCGCAUCGAGGUAUGUGCUAGCUGACUAUUCUCUCCAUAUAGAUACAUCUUCUUUUGUUUCUUCCAAAAAAAUAAUAUAUGAACUUGAAAUAUUUGCGGUCAAUGAAUCAUUGGGACUACAAUGAGCAGAAAACCAUUUUGGAUUUUUUGGUCUAGCAUAAAUAUAUAAAAUUAGUCUUUUACCAAUAAAAAUAUCAUUUUAAGUAUUUAUGUUGCACAAACGAGUCCUAUACUUUUCACGUAUUGUAGUUCGAAUGUGUCAAGUUUGUAUGAUGUCUUAUUUAGGAGAAAUAGAAGAGAAAAUUGGGAUUGGGGUAUAGGAUAGCAGAACUCAUGAAGUCGGGUUUAGCGUGAAAAUGGACAAAGUAGCCCCUUUUCUCAAACUUCAACACAAAAUGAACCCAAUCUUAAAAUAUUUCACAAAAUGGCCCUCUUUUGCAUGACGGGCUGGGGCGCCAUGCUAGAGAGCAUGACGCCCCGGGCCAGGGUGCCAUGGUUGCGACAUGUAGCAUGGUGCCCCGGGCUAGGGCACCAUGCCAAAUAGCAUGGCGCCCCGGGCUAGGGCACCAUGCCAAAUAGCAUGGCCCAGGCGUCAUGCAAAAGGGCCACUUUGUGGGAAAAAAACAGACUGGGGCCAUUUUGUUUUGAAGUUUCGGAAAAGGGUCAGUUUUGUCCAUUUUCACGGGUUUAGCCAGGCCUUGUUCUGAUCUGAAAUUGCCAUUUUAUCCUUGCAUUUUUUUUUACAAGAAUCACUUUUCAUUUGGGUGUUGGUUUGUUGAAGAAACUUCUCUAAUGUAGAUCGUCACUUUGGACAAUACUAAACAGCAUUUGGUCAUCAAUGUUACACGCAAAAGUAAAUUGGUCGAAACAGAAGGAAACAUAUUUAGAAACACUCACGAUGAAUUCUCCGAUGCCUGGGAAUGACCAUCCGUGGCUCUGAGGAUACGAUGGGUACCUCAACUCUCCAGCUGGGCCAAGUCCGACUUCAAUGUCUACAAUAACACCGGCAUCCAAGAACUCUUUCAUGUUGUCCCUGAAGCUUGCCAUGUAAUCGGCAUACAUCUGUCACAGCCACACAGAAGAAUCAAAGCUUUCUACCAUCAGCACAUUGUACCUAACAAAAUCAAAACUAUUUGUUCUUACUGAUUAGGUCUAAUUCUUUUCACUAGCUAGAUUUCGUUUCUUUUGUUAUAUAUUAUUGGCACAUUUUGGCUUUUGCUUGUAUUUGGAUUCAUCAUGAAUUUUUAUCUCCAAUAUACACAAAAACACACACAUUUGAAUGAAAAAAAAUAUAAGUACUGCAAGAGAGCUAGAGUGGUGGUUUAAAUUAAUUAACCUGCACGGCGGAUCUUCCAUGGAAGAGAGGCUGGUCAUCAACUCCAAGGGUGAGGUACUCAAUGUUCCUAGUCCCGUGCUGGUCGGUGUAGAAAAUGUCCGGAUCACUCGCACCGACGUCCCGCACCCACUGCGGGAUCGGGAUGUUGACGACGUCGCCGACGUUGCCACCGCACUGGUGGAGUGACAUGAUGGCCUGUAGCUUCAGUCCAGCCUCAUGCACCAGCUUGAACAACUGCUUGUAGGCGGACCAGUCGUAGACCCUAGGGCCCUUGGCCUCCACCAAGCCCCACCAGACGUCUACCAUGACGCCAUCCACACCGGCGUCUACCAGCCUCUUCAGCUGCGGCCUGAGCUCGUCACCCUUCUCGAACCUGUUGUUCACGCUCACCGCGUCCAGCUAUUUAUUUCCACAACGAAAACGAAGUCAAUGUUAGUACAAAUGAAAUACUCAUUUGAGGCCUCAGAUCUUGUUGAUUUCACCCUUUUGAACUAGAGUGUUACGAAUGACGGUAUUAUAUGUACACCAUUGCAUGUGUGAAUUAUAUCCUUGAAAUGGGUGUAGUGCAUGGUGCUUAGAGAUUGAGUUGAAUGGAUGGUACUUACUGGGAGCAUGACGUAGACUUGGACAUAGUUGCCUUGUUGCACGCUCGCUUCCAUUGUGGCUGCUGGCUAUGGAUGAUGCUCUCCAACAAAUGGUUUGCUGGAUAUGGCAUUGAGCUUAAUUAAGGGGUCUAUUUAUACUAGAAAAAAGAUGUCUCCGCCGAUAACGAGGCCAGUGAACCUAGCUUUUCCAAUCAGAUAUGUCAGAAACAAGCUUGUCCAGUCAGAAAGGGCGCUUUGUGAACUGAUUUUGGUUUUGUUUACCAUACACAGCCAAGCUUAAAGGAUUGAGAUCAUCAGUUGCGGCCUUAUACCAUGCGCGGCUGAUGCAGAUCUGAUUGGGAGAGAGAUAGGAUCCUUAUCUUAUAGCUAACUUGGCAUCCAAUCCACGUCUCAAACGAACUCCUUAAUCAAGCCAAACUGGCACCUUAUAUCAACGCUUACGCAUCCCGGCACAAGUUGUACAUGUGUUUCCAAAGCCAUUGUCUAACGUAUCCUAUCGAGAACUUUAGGAACAAUCUCAACUUGAUAAAGUUGUGAUUGAGGAAGAGUGUUGGAAUUUGUACAAACCAACAUAUAGUGUGUAAACCAUGGGCUUCCAGAGUAGUCUAUAGGGCGGACACUACUGCAUGUGUGCUGAGUUUGUUGUAAUCUUGAUCAGUUGAGGUAGAGAUAUCAGCACACACGCAUCCUUUCUCAAGUGGAUACGCCUCCACCUAUUGUUGGCCUUGUUAUAUCUUUUGUGAUGUUGUUUUCUAUGAAAAUAUUGUUCUCGUGAUGCUUUACUUCGAUCGGAAGGUCUUCUUCCACCAUAUAUCUUAAAUACCACGUGUUCUGACCAUGGUACGAAUUAGGUGCUGAUCACGGAACACAAAUCAAAACCUGAACAAUGCUGCCCAAACCAUUAAUCGGAUGGCUAUAUCUUUGUAAUACAGCUUAGCCUUACUUCCGUUUAUUUGUUUUCCUUCUUUAAAGUAACUUAUAUCUAAAACUAGCGUCGAUCGGUUGUUUCUACAUUUUUCAGGUUAGAAAUAGUUACUGGUUGGUUUGGUAAUUGUCUUACAAAUUGUGCCGCUAACGGUUCAGAAAAUGCAGCUAUAUGGCCGCUAAUGUAAUCGUCUUAAAAAUAGUUACUGGUUGGUUUGGUAAUCGUCUUACAAAUCUCGCACGGGCCAAAAUGUUUUCCUUAGGCUUAGGGGCGUGGCGUGGACAAAGCACAAAACUAAGAGAAUUUCGUAUUCUGCCCGCUGCGAUAAAUUGUCGCUGAAACACACAGACGAGAGUAUCAUAUGUAGUUAUAGUUGGUUCUACUGAUUUUUAUUGCGGGUUCUCCAUUUCUAUUUUUCUCCACAGGUUCUGAUUUUUUUUCUACUUAUCCUUUUCGUUUUUUUUUCACAUUUUGGCUUUUCAGAAAUUCUGUAAUCAUUUUUUGAAAGUGCAUGAAUAUUAGCCAGACCAAUAUGCUUUCACAACUUACGAAGAAAAGGAGAAAUACCUGUUAAUGGGACAACCCAAUAUCAUUUACGUCCGCGAUUGGUAGGUAAAAAUGAUUUGUUGUAAAACAUAUAUGCACGUCUAAACAAGUAAAUUAUUUAUGUACUUCUAAAAAUGUUUACAUACUGCAUGAAAUAUACACGUAUUUUCUAAACAACAUUCAUGUAACCAAAAAGUAUUUACGCAUUCAAAAAUUAUCAUGUGACUGAAAAAGUGUUCUCAGAUUUUAAAGUGAUAAUGUAUAUAUAAAACGUUUUCACACAUUUUUUUAGGGAUGUUUAUGUCAAUAAAUAAAUGUUCACAUAUUUUUCCCAAAGAAUAAUGCAGCAUUACAAAGGGCAGAGCUCUUCUAAAAUGUGUUCAUUUAACUUCAAAAAGUACUCACUUAUUUGACAAAAAAUAUAAUUAAUACAAAAAUUGUCAAAUAUAAUUAAUACAAAAAUUGUUCACAUAUUUUUAUGAAAUUCGCUUAAAUUUUAAAAAGUGUUAUCCUUUUCCGUAAAAUCUUUGUACAUUUUAAAAAGAUGGAUUUUUCGAAAAAUGUUAGUGUUAAUGUACGUUACCAAAAUAUGAUAUACCAAAACUAAAAAGAAAUGGUCAAACAGAAAAAACAAAAAGAAGGAAAGAAGAUAAAAAUGGGAGACAUUAAACACAAGAAAUAAGAAAAAAUAUGUUAAAUAUGACAAUCAAAAAAGAUAAAUUAUAGCAAACACAGAAAAAGGAAAAAAUAACGGAAAUUGAAAAGAAAACAACAAACAAUAAAAACCAAAACAAGUCUGCUGGGUUGAGGUAAUUGUGCACGUGCGCAUUCGCAUGUGCUUGCUAUAUAUCGCAAUUCCGGAGAUAUAAAUUUUAUUAGUGAACCUAUUAUAAAGUUAUUGCAAAGAGUAUAUAUCAAAUCAUACUGCCCAUAGUCAGGUUUUAUUUUUGUAGUUUCUAUUUUUAUAAGUUUAAUUUUAUUUUUCAUUUACAUCUUGUUUUAGCAAACAGUUGAACAUUUUGGUAGUAUGUGAACAUUUACUUUAACUAUGUGAUUUAUUGAAGUCAUAAAGAUUUUAUUUUCAUAUGCAUGGACAUUUUGAUAUGGAAUACAUGAACUUCUCCAUGGAGCUAUGGAAAUAGUUUUCUGAAGUACAUGAACAUUUCUUUUGAAACUCAUGAAUAUCUACUUUUAAAUGCACGACACUAUUCCAUAAUAUACAAACAAUUUCCAUUAUCAGUUUAUUUAUAAUGAUAGUUUUAAGUGUGCAAAAAAUGAAAACAUGGUUUUCGAUGUUUAACAACACAUAAAAAAUAUCUGUAAUUGGCAGCCCUAGUAGACGGUCCAUUUAGGAGUGUGGCGUUGCAAAGGCCGAGCUCCAUGGAGCUCGUUUUGCAAAAACAAAAAAUCAAAAUAUAUUUAAUAGUUUCAAAAAAUGACAAAUAUUUUCCUACUAAUACACAUGCAUUUUAUGCAAGUAUGUACGAAAUUUCAUCAACUAAUUUGAUUAUUUGGAUGCUACACAAAAAAAGACAAAUAUUUGGCCCAAAUACAACAAAGAAAACCCCUAUUUUAAUCUGUGUAUUUGACUUUUUUGUGUACAUCACAUAUGAAUAUAUAUGUUCAUGAAAUUUACAGAUGUAUAACAAAAUUAUAUGUCUACAUGAAAACUUUUUUCAGUUUUUCUUUAGAUGUGCAAAAGGUAUCUUCGCUAAAUAGAAAGUGUAGUGCUCAAUGGAGCUCGGCCUCUGCAUGCACUUUUCGGCCCAUUUAGAUGAUUUUCAGUUGAUUUAUGCCAUACCCUUUGCUAAAGGCAAAGAAGCGGGAGCCCUUCAGCCCAAUAAGUGCUUUGUUAGUUUUACUCUCAUCUUCUCUUAUUUAUUUUCCGUUUAUUCUGUGACGGCAGUGCUUGUGCAUCAUUCCCUUCUUGAAGACGUUGAUGUUGAGAAAUCUCAUUGUCCUUGUGGUAUAAAAAGUUGGAUUGUGCGGGUAUGGUCAUUGUUGUAGUUUGACGAUCGCCCCAAGGUUUUUCCCUUUUUAUUGGCUUACGCAUAACUUUGGUCUUGUAUGACUUUGCUUUUUGUCGGUGUGGUUUUCUUGUGUGUGCAUUGAUAUUGGCGGCGUACUCCUAGUUAUGCUGAGGCCGGGUGUGUGCUCAUUAUGCUUUGUAUCUGCUUGGUGCUUCAUUUGAGUUAAGAAAAUCCACCAUUUGCCAAAAAAAAAAUCCGUUUGAAUUUUUUAUUGUCUUAUUUUUACAAAACAAUUCUUGAACAGUUAAUACAUUAACUUGUUUUUUAUACUCAUGGACAUUUGUUUUGAAAUAUAUGAGCACUUUCAAGUAUAUUGAAAAAAAUAUGUAGAAGUCAUUUUUAUUGUGAUUCUAUGGAAUACUUUUCAUUCGUGUAAUACUUUAUUUAGUAUUUAUGAACAUAUUUCAGAGUUCGUACAAACAAAAUUAAAGUCAGCAAAAAUUUCCUUACCCAAAGCCAACGGCUCCUCUCUUUUUUCCCCUUGAGACCUCGAGGAGUAGUAAUCGUGAUAGAUCAAAGACUGUGAGCAAAGCGGGAUAUACUUGGGCCUGCGGCAACUUGGAGUUAGGGGAAAGGCCACACUGACACUGCUUCCAUUUUUUUUUUUUUGCGCCAUUGCAACGACCGAAGGUGGCAGAUAACCAGUCUCUGUCACAGGCCAGCUCAGGUUCACACACCUAAAAAACUGAUAUCUGAAUUCUGAAAAAUUGCCUGAAGUUGGCUGAUCGAGUAGGUUCCAUGUCAUCACCAAUCAGGCAAACCCAGGGUCAUAUUUGAUUUGACAUGAUGUCUCUAGUGCACUAUAUAUACCGGUACAGUACAAAGUGAUCUCAUUUCGCAGAGGAGAUUAUAAUUAGCUAUCUAGCACUCCAUCAGAGCCUCAGAUGUCAAAGACUUUUUGUUGUUGCUGCCGUUUGCGUGGUGGUGUUGUGUUUCUCCUUCUACCUCCUUCUGCAAUGGGUUGCUUUCACUUCUUGUCGGCCUUCUUGUCGUCUUUCUUCUCCUCUUUCUUGUCAUCCUUCUUCUCCUCGCCCUUCUUCUCCGCAGCCGGUGCCGGCUUCUUCUCCUCCUUGGCCGGGCCGACCGAGACGAUGUCGAUCUUGCCGAGCUUCUUGAGCCUCUUGGCGAUGGCUACGGUGUCCAUGGCGCCGAUGACGGUCAUCUUGUUGUCCUUGAGGUCCGCGGCUAUCGAGUCGAUACCUUCAACCAACCACGAGUAGAAAAAUUAAAAGGAAUGAGUUCAUUCAUGCUGGUUGAUUGGUUGUAUCUGCACUAUGAUUAGAUGCAACAAAACUAUAUAUGCUCAUUGAUUAAGCUAUAGAAAUCAUGUUCAUUGAUUGAUUACACCUCUUUUUUUUAGAAUCCAUUUAUUGAUUUGAAUCUGCGCUAUGAUUACAAGCAUAUUAUAGUGUGAGGAUUUUGACCUUUUGUGCGAGGAUCUGACCGAAGAGAUCUCGGGUCAUGCCCACCCACUCACAGUAUACGAAGGACAGAGGAGGAAAGGACCCAUGUGUAGUUCUACCAACUUGGCUCAUCAAACAAACACAAGAGUAAAGCCAUUUUCGUACUAUGGUACAGGCAUGCAUGUAGCUUAUGGCCCUACAGAUUGACUUACCUGCCCAGCCACGUCUGAUCAGGCAUCGCGAUCGAAUAUCGCAUUAUCGCCUAGCAAUAAUUCAUGCAUCCUUGCGAAAUUCAGCUAUGGUUCCAGAAAUACCACAAGAUGGAAAGAUGAACUGACGAUGAAUGGCCGGGAGCCGGGAAGCAUGGGAGGAGAUUUUUCUGCCCCCUUCCUUUGUGAGAUUCAAAAGAUCAAUCGAAGCAGCAACGGGAGGAAAAUUCAUGGGGUGCGCUUACGUACCGUAGAUGUCGGCGACGGCCUCCAUGGCUUUCUGCUUGGUCUUCUCGUCGGUCAUGGUGGGAAUCCUCAGCACCACCUUCUACAUGCAGCACAAUCAAGGAAGCGAGCAGUGAACAAACAUUUCCCCAGGAGUAUGUUCUCGCUCCCAAUACUCAUGGAUUUCACUGACGCCAUGAUCGACUUAACAUGCUAAAACUGAAGGAAUCGAGGGAGAAGACACUCUCAAACUGGCGUACCUGGGCCAUCUGGCAGGAGGGGAAAGGCCGGCCGGGAGAGACUCAACUCAAGAGGGACAGGAAACAGUGGGAACUUGUGAAGAGUGUGUGUGUGUGUGUGUGUGUGUGUGUGUGUGUGUGUGUGUGUGUGUGUGUGUGCGUGUGAUGACGAUGUUCUCCAUGUCCAUGGGGGAGGCUCUUCUUAUACUAGAAUGUUCGGACCUGAUGGUGAUCGGGUGAAGUGUCAACUUCGUGUGGAACGCCGAACGAUCUGCAGCACAUCCAACAAAACCCAAACCCAAAGCCGCCCGCAUAUACAAGGUGUUUCCCACACGGCCGGACACCCUCCAGUUCAGGAACUAUCCGAGCUGGAUUACAUACAGGAGCAUGGUUAUAUGCUUCUGUUCUCUUUCUGGUGGUAUGACAAACACGUCGGUUUAUUACCACAUGGUGGUAGGCCUACAAUUCUGUCUUGAUUUGUAUCUUGUACCACAUGACAGACACGUCGGUUUCGCAAAAUGAAUUUAACCUUAACUCGUCACGUCGUAUACACGAUGGGGACUUUAAUAAUAUGGUUGCAUGCAUCAUUGCGAUGCCGAGGCCGGGGUAUUCCUCCUUUUUCAAAAAAAAAGAAACUCGUCUCAUCAUUAUGUUACCCGGUGGAGUCAAUAUACGCGGCUCACAUAUCACAUCUUGCCACAGUUGAUUUUUUUUUAUACGAAUGCCUUCAUGGCUAGCUUUUAUUAACUUAAAUCACACCUACAUCGUCUACUCAUUAAGAUAAAAUAAAACCUGGAUGUGUAUCCGAUCACAACAUCGGUGGAUUAGACCUCCCAAAACUAGCUAGCUCAUGGGCAACCAUGUUCGACUAUACAAUGUUCAAUAAAGACCUUCCCGAAAUUCGCAAGUAGACUUCGACAUUCAUUGAGGAUCGGUGCAGCCCACCAACGAGUAAUCCUCGUUUCCAUUCAAUGCAUCAACCAUAGUCACGUUAUGAGUUUCGACAACCACCUUCUCACAUCCCUGACUGAAGGAGCAAAAGUCUUUGACAUGGCGCUUCCGAUUCAACAGUAACCACGUCAGCUACAUGUUCCGUUCCAGCAACAGCUGCUGGAGUAAAGUCUCUAGUAUGAUCACGAAUGACAGCUCCACAAGAACCACCGUUAUCAUCAUCAGAGAAAGACGCAUCGACGUUAAGGAUUAGGAAACCAGACAAUGGUUUCUUCAAGUUAUUCCGGAGAGUAGUUGUCUCUAUUUUCCUUGGUGUGCCAACAUGGGAACCUCAGUUGAAUUUCUAAUACUCCUAGAAAGUGAGCUGGCUGGAAAAAGAAUGAUCACAUCGGAGCGUCGUGGUCAUGUUACCCGAUGGAGUCGAUAUUCGCCAUGAAGUCGAAGCAGCCGAUAUGAAGAACAAAGCCGUUGUGGCCACCUCCCGCAUCCAAGACGCUCGUUGAUGCUUGGAACGCAUCCAAGGCCAAGUCGAAGCAGCCUAACUAAGUCCCUCUCCCUUGAGGUCUCCAAAAUGGCGGUUGCCAGCAAAAUAAAACCGCGUUUUAAGUUUCUCGUUCCAUAUCACUGAAAUUACUUGAAAUGUCAAUACCUUGUACGUGGUGUUGAACAUCCUAUUUUGGGGAACAUGCAUAUAAAAAUUGUGUAAGUGGAACAAAAAGAAGAGACGAGAUCACAGACAUACAUGAGAAAGAUUUGGGUACAAACGACACAUACGACACAUACGCUCACAGGUGGAUCCAUAAAUAUAUAGAUCCUGUUUUGGCAACACUGAAUUUACACGCAAGGUCCCAGCCUGCGGAAAAUGCAGGUCACUCCACAACUGUUUUUAGAGGGUGUGAUUUGACGACUUUGCUAGAGCUGCUUUUAGCCAGCGUUCCUUUCUCCAUGGAAGGGGGGAAAGCCGCUUCAGGCACACAUUAAAGCGAGUGCCAAAUUGAAGAGCAGGCCUACAUGAGAUCGUGCCACGGUGCAUGCGCUUCAAUUUUAUAAUUUUAAGGGACUCACUAUUUCAAAGGUGAUUGGCGUUAUUCUAUUUCUUUUGCUUUCGGUCAUUUUUCUUCGCCUCCAAUCAGAGUCCGACCGCGCCACACCUUCUACCUCCUCCCGCAGAAAUCCCCUCUGACGUCGCACAUUCUUCCUCCUGCCUCACAAACCCCCACACUAACCCGAUCCGGUCAAUCACUUCCCUGGUCACCUGCAGAGCUGCAUGGAAUGUGAUCGAGGCCUGGAAAAAUUCUAGGCGUCUGAUCAGUACCAUGCGAGCAAUUUUAAGCAAGUGCACUGAUAUGUCUCCAUCGUAUCUACUUUUUCAAACUCUUUUGCCCUUGUUUUGGACUCUAAUUUGCAUGAUUUGAAUGGAACCAACCUCAAGCCCAAGAAAAAGGGAGCCCCUAUUUGACACGCUUUGCGUCAAAUUGGUGGCCUGACGCACAGAGAGAGACUUGACUGGGCUGGCCCAUCGAGUUCUACCGCGGGACGGAAAAUAUAGCACGAAAAAGGAAACACGCACGACCCAGGAAUCUAACCGGAGACCAACUGCUUACAAUCACGCACUACUAGCCACUCGGGCUAACGAGUACUGUUGUUAAUAAAGCAGUGCAUCCCUUAAAGAACUAACCAUAGAUGUGGAACCGGAAUGGUAUAUACUGUAGCGAACCGACAGUAGCUAUUGUAGCGAAUCUGAAUUAGUUACUGGGUUGAACUUGUUUUUAAUGUAUAUUUUCAAAAAGUAGCAACAUUUAUGUAAUUCCAGAAGAAGAAAAACCGGAGACAGGAACAUUUUUUGAAUAUGUGAACAAAAAUUGAAAAAGUAGAAAAGGGAACAAAAAUAUUGUUUUCUGAAAAACAUAAACAUUUUCUGAAUUUAUGAACAAAUUAUGAAAUUCUGAACAAAUGUUGAAACCGCGAACAAUUUUUUAUUUUUUCAACAAAAAAAUUUGAAAAGUGGACACAUUUCAUGAUAAUUGGAAAAAAAUGAAAUCGUGAAUAUUUUUUGAAUUUAUGAACAAAAACUUUAAAAUGGAACAUUUCAUGAAAUUCCGAACUGUUACAAAUUGUUAACAUUUUUCAAAAAUUCUUGAACAUUUUUGAAACGCAAACAUUUAUUGAACUUCCGACCAAAAUUUGUAAUCACGAAAUAAUGGAACAUUUUAUGAAAUUUCAAUAAAAAAUAUUGAAAUCGUGAACAUUUUUUAAGUUCUUGAACAUUUUCUAAAAUUCGAACUUUUUUUAAUUUCUGACAAAAUUUGAAACCACAAAAAUACCUGAACAUUUUUUAAAAAAUGAAUAAUUUUUCAACUUGUGAACAAUAAAAAAAUCUUUGGAAUUCCUGAACAUUUUUUCAACUUGUGAACAAAAUUUAAAGACAAGAAUAGUUUUUUAAAUUCCUGUACAUUUUUUGGUAUGAGAAUAUUUUUUGAUUAUAUGAAAAAAAAGGAGGAAUUUUUUUGAAAAUCUGAACAAAAUUUGAAAAUUGUGAAAAAAAUAUUAAAAGAGAAGUCAACCUGAAA
rnacentral:lncRNA from 1 species